UACGAAGGGGGCUAGCGUUGCUCGGAAUCACUGGGCGUAAAGGGCUCGUAGGCGGCCAACUAAGUCAGACGUGAAAUCCCCUCGGCUUAACCGGGGGAACUGCGUCUGAUACUGGAUGGCUUGAGUUCGGGAGAGGGAUGUGGGAAUUCCAGGUGUAGCGGUGAAAUGCGUAGAUAUCUGGAGGAACACCGGUGGCGAAGGCGGCAUCCUGGGACCGACACUGACGCUGAUGAGCGAAA
rnacentral:rRNA from 1 species